rnacentral:ncRNA from 1 species
CUUACAGCAGGCGAUGGAGUUCGCCUCAAACCGCCCUUUUCGGGCUGAUGACUCCUACCCGAAC